UACGAACCGUCCAAACGUUAUUCGGAAUCACUGGGCUUAAAGGGCACGUAGGCGGCGCUGUUAGUCGGGUGUGAAAUCCCUCGGCUCAACCGAGGAAUUGCGUCCGAUACUGCAGUGCUUGAGGGAGACAGAGGUAAGCGGAACUGAUGGUGGAGCGGUGAAAUGCGUUGAUAUCAUCAGGAACACCGGUGGCGAAAGCGGCUUACUGGGUCUCUUCUGACGCUGAGGUACGAAAGCUAGGGGAGCGAAGGGG
rnacentral:rRNA from 1 species